UUUAAGAGCCCUCAUAGAAUGCAUCUCUUUUGGCGUCUAUACUAUAUCUCUUUACAUCGCUAUGUCGCCUCUCUCCAUAGAAACCCAGAACGUAGGGCUUCAAAUCCUUAGAGAAAAAUUGUAGAUUUUCUUCGCUCUUCGGAAGUCCGAGAUCAAGUAAAAUUGAUCAGUACUUAUCUUCAUCGUUUCCCAAAGAUCUGAAUUACUUCAAUCUACUUGUCAGGGAUGGUUGUCGGAUUCAUUUACAUUUAUCAAUUUCGGGAUAAUGAUGAAAAAUAUAAAUCUAUGCAAUUACUACUCCAUGUAUGAACAUGCCGUGAAGAUAACACAAGAGAUAAAAAGGCGUUGCAUCAGUUGAAUCAGUAGAAGCCAAACUAUGACAGAACAUAUAUUUUAAUAUUCAAAAACUUGGCAAGUGACAAGACUUCAUUGUGAUCAAGAGUUGGAGAAUAUUUUAUAUGUCUCAUUUUGUCUUUUUAUAGCUAUUUGAUAGCAAAAUUUAUUAGAUUCAAAAUGUGUGAUGAACCAAAAGAUCAUCUCUUAUUUAAAAGUCAAUCUUGUAUUUUGAGGCCUUAAAAACCUCAUUUUGUCUCA